ensembl:lncRNA
CCGUUAUAAACACGCCGUCUGGUGUCCAGGAAGUGGAGGAGAGUUUGUACACCGAGUGUCAGACGUGGCUGAUAAACAGAAGAAAGCCAUACUGUCCUUCGGUAAACAAAGGCUGCUAAACAAAUAGCAGAGUGCGUUAUUGUUACUCACAUUCGUGCUUCACACAUACACACGCAGUUUGAAAAGGCAGGAGCAGUAUUUAUUAGCAUGCCAAAUUAAAAGAUGGCACAAAGGAACAUAAAUGACUCUGCGCUCCAAUAGCUUAAUUGCUAAUCUCUUCUUUUAGGACGGUGUUUAUUUCAUUAGUCUCGUUUUAGCGCCGUCGCCAUCUCUCCCUGCUAAUUAACUUGUUUGGAUUGAACGUCUACCCCUCCGUGCCAGACAGCACGAACACCGCUGCAGGGAAAGUAAAGUGUAACAUUACUUCUUUUUCUCCAUGGACGUUCCUAUCCAGAACUUAUCUCCAUGUCUCUCAUCUCUCUGGACUACGCCAUCCGGUUCCCCGGAUCCGAUGAGACGCCAGAAGAAAGCCAGAAGAAAGCCAGUAGAAGGCCAGAAUGCGGUCAGUAGAAGGCCAAGAGAAGACAGGCCAGAAGAAGGCCAGUAGAAGGCCAGAAUGCGGUCAGUAGAAGGCCAGUAGAAGGCCAGGAGAAGGCGAGUAGAAGGUCGAUAGAAGGCCAGUAGAAGGCCAGUCGAAGGCCAGUAGAAGGCCAGUAGGUUGCCAGUCGAAGGCCAGUAGAAGGCCAGGAGGUUGCCAGUAGAAAGCCAGUAGGUGGCCAGUAGAAGGCCAGGAGAAGGCCAGUAGAAGGCCAGUAGGUUGCCAGUCGAAGGCCAGUAGAAGGCCAGUAGGUUGUGUAGGAUAUUAGAAACAAAUUGACGACCCGGUUCAUAAAAUUAAUAAAAAUGCAUAUAGUGUACACCAGAAUACAGCCAUGAUUCUGAAACUGUGUAAUCCAUAAAGUAAUGACAAUAUUGUAAAACCAAUGUAAAUCUGCAACUGUAAUAG